UGUAUUUAGAGAUAUUAACAAUAUUUCUCGGUUGUUAGUACUUCAUCAUUUUCUUUGAUUACCUGAACUUUCUUGUUAUUAUAGUUUCACAUUGUUCAACUCGCAUUAUUAAUCGAUAACUACAAUUUGUAUUACAAAACAUUUAUUUUUCAAAAGUAAGAUCCUCUAGAGCCAUUCGACAUUUAAAGUUUGUUUGAAUGCUUUGGACAAAUGUGUACAACUAACAAUCUAUAUACUUAAUAACACACUAAACUCGCACAGCUGCAACAACAUUAAACCGUGAGGUCAAAUUUAAAAGAAAUAAAUUAAAUAAAACAGUGGUAUCCAACCUGGGCGUCGAGAGCCCAUUUCAAGCCGCACGUCCUGAAACGCAGACGCAACAUAUUUCAUUGCCGGGAAAAGAGAACCAUAAAAAAAAAAGAAAAAAACAUUUUCAGUUCAUCUACAUAAUCCUGAUCAAGGCAGUGGGCAGGCUGACCAGAGUAAGUUACAAGCCAGACUAACGGAGUCCCCCCCCCCACACACACACACACACACACACACACACAGACACGCACAAGUCUGCCAUGAUAAGCCUAACCCUUGGUCCUUUGGUGGAUAACGAUGGUCAACCAAGAGAAACAAACUCCAAGCAGACACAGCCCGAAGGCAUGAUGGACGGAAUUCAUUGUAGAAAUGUAAAUUAAAAGGAUACAGAAGCAGAGGUGUUGUAGGGAAACUUCAGAAGUUUUAAAAAGAGAAAGCAGAUUUUGAAAAGAAGCAACCGGAAAAAGCCCCAUCCUUCUCUGCCUUCUCCCGGUUUCAUUUCUCCGGCAUUAAGAAGCGUUGCUUUGACGCACCUGUUGACCAAUCAGGGAAGAGAUGUCCUGAUUGGUCAGAAUGGAGCAGGGAGGAGACUGAAAUCGAAAGUCUCAUACCUAGGCAGCAGCAUCAUCAAAUAGAAGAGAUGUCGUCCACGAGCGUUUCACCCUCUAUCAGCUGAAGGACGGCCAUGGCUAUGAAAAUAACACUCACGUUUGAGCUCUCACAUUUACAGCACCUUUAAUAAAAACAAUAAUCUGGUGUUACAGUUCAUCAUCAUCUCCCACUUGUUUCUCUUUAGCAGGGAGAGUGUGGUAGCAUGACCACCGGAGACCCAACAGGAUUGAGAUAUGGCACAAAAUGUAAAAUAAAAUGUAAAAAUAAAAAAGGCCAACAAAUGUUUACAAGAGUGCACUGGAAUGGGAAUGAGCCGAUGACGAGCGUAGCGCACGCUGGCCCCUGGUACACCUGGGCGCCAUGACAUCUAGCCAGCGCUAUUUAGUGCAAAUCACCUCCAGUGUAACAGUAGCGGGCAGCUAGCAUUGGAUGGACAGAUGACAUAAGAUAAGACCUGAUUAGCCCAGAUGCUAACAAUGCUAAACAAGCAACAGCCCUUAAUAAUAAUAAUGAAUUCACGAUUCUGUGUCAGCAUCCCUCCUCUCAUUCACACACACACACAAACAAACCUAUACAAAUCUAUACAAGGGCUAUAUAAAACUCUUCUUUCUAUCUGCUCAACAGCACUCGGAUCCGUGUUCAAAAAUAAUCCUCUGCGCCCGACCUCCGGGCUCCGUGUCAGCGCCUCCCGACCGGCCGUCGGUCACGCCCACUCGGCGUGGCUUGGUUUCUAUGGCGAUGGGCCGUUGCUAGAUUCUGGAGAACCUGCAGGAUGGAAAAGGUCCAGGGGGGCGUUGGCCAGCAGGUCUGCGUCCAGCAGGUCUGCGUCGACGUACUGCGCACCGAACACACGCAGCAGCUGGUCGAAGUAUUUACACUCCUGCUUCUCCGUCCCGCCCCUGCAGACAGGAAGCCACAACACCGUGAGUGACAGCAGAACCAGCGAAUGGCGGCUUGGGUCAGUUAUGGAGCCGUUGAGGAUCAGUGGAUUCAAGGAAAUUAAAAACGAACGAACCCUGGAGCCCCAGAAUGUGGAGCGUGAGCGGAGACAUCACCAGGAUCAAUAAUAAUACGGACCCUUUGUGUAUUAAUUAGGUUUAUAUGAACACAUGUCCUAGCGUACCGCGGUCAGUAGACCAUCAAAGAGAUAAGAUACUUUAUU
ensembl:lncRNA